rnacentral:lncRNA from 1 species
UGGUGUAUCACACUUAUUAACUGGCGUAUGUUAAACCAUCCCUGCAUCUCUGGUAUGAAACCCACUUGAUCAUGGUGGACUAGAUUUUUAAUAUGCUGUUGGAUUCAGUUAGCUAGUAUUUUGUUGAGGAUUUUUGCCUCUAUGUUCAUCAGGGAUAUUGGUCUGUAAUUUUCUUUUUCUGUAUAUUUCCAGGAAUUUAUCCAUCUCCUCUAGGUUUUCUAGUUUAUGUAAAGAUGUUCAUAGUAAAGGUGUUCAUAUAAAGAUGUUCAUAGUGGCCUUGAGUGAUCUUUUGUAUUUCUGUGGUAUCAAUUGUAAUAUCCCCCACUUCAUUUCUAAUUGAGCUUCUUCAGAUGUUCUCUCUUCUUUUCUUGGUUAAUCUUGCUAAUGACUAUACAUUUUAUUUAUCUUUUCAAAUAACCAGCUUUUUGUUUGAUUUAUGUUUUGUAAUUUAUUUUGUUUGUUUCCAUUUCAUUCAGUUCUGCUC